GAAAUGGGGGGUGGGGCUGCUCAGGUGCGCCCAAAAUCUGGGCAGGUCUGCUUAAAUGCAUCCAAAAUCUGGGCAGGUCUGCUCAAAUGCACCCAAAAUCUGGGCAGGUCUGGUCAAACGCACUCAAAAUCUGGUCAGGUCUGCUCAAAUUCACCAAAAAUCCACCCAGGUCUGCUUAAAUGCAUCCAAAAUCUGGGCAGGUCUGGUCAAAUGCACCCAAAAUCUGGGCAGGUGUGCUCAAAUUCACCAAAAAUCCACCCAGGUCUGCUCAAAAUCCACCCAAAAUCUGGUCAGGGCUGGUCAAAUGCACUCAAAAUCCACCCAGGUCUGCUCAAAUGCACCCAAAAUCUGGUCAAGUCUGCUUAAAUGCACCCAAAAUCUGGUCAGGUCUGGUCAAAUGCACUCAAAAUCCACCCAGGUCUGCUGAAAUGCACCCAAAAUCUGGUCAGGGCUGGUCAAAUGCAUCCAAAAUCUGGGCAGGUGUGCUCAAAUUCACCAAAAAUCCACCCAGGUCUGCUCAAAAUCCACCCAGGUCUGCUAAAAUCCACCCAAAAUCUGGUCAGGUGUGGUUAAAAUGCAUCUAGAUCCACUCAAAUCCACUCAGGUCUGCUCAAAAUCCAUCUAGGUUUGUUCAAAUGCACCCAAAAUCUGGUCAGGUCUGUCCAAAUCUGCCCAAAAUCUGAUGUGAUGUGGUUAAAACUGCUCAAAAUCCACCCAAAAUCUGGUCAGGUGUGGCCAGAUCUCCCCAAAAUCCACCCAGGAGUGCUCAAAUUCACCCAAAAUCCACCCAGGACUGCUCAAAUUCACCCAAAAUCCACCCAGGACUGCUCAAAUUCACCCAAAAUCCAGCCAGGUGUGUUCAAAUCCACCCCAAAUCCAGCCAGGUCUGUUCAAAUUCAUCCAAAAUUUGGUCAGGUGUGGUUAAAUCUGUCCAAAAUCCACCCAGGUCUGCUCAAAAUGCAUCUAAAUCCACCCAAAAUCCGGCCAGGUCUGCCCAAAUCUGCCCAAAAUCUGAUCAGGUGUGCUCAAAAUCCACCCAAAUCCGCCCAGGUCUCCAAAAAAUCCACCUAAAUUCCCCCAAAAUCCAGCCAGGUCUGCCCAAAUCUGCCCAAAAUCUGAUCAGGUCUGCUCAAAAUCCACCCAAAUUCACCCAAAAUCCAGCCAGGUUUGCCCAAAUCUGCCCAAAAUCUGGUCAGGUGUGCUCAAAUUCCACCCAAAUUCACCCCAAAUUCGCCCAGGUCUGCAAAAAAUCCACCCAAAUCCACCCAAAAUCCAGCCAGGUCUGCCCAAAUCUGCCCAAAAUCCACCCCAAAUCCACCCAGGUCUGCCCAAAAUCCAGUCAGAUCCACCCAAAUCCUCCCAAAAUUUACCCAAAUCCACUCAAAAUUUACCCAAAUCCACCCCAAAUCCGAGGCUGGAGGGAAAAGUUGAGAGACUUGACCCCAAAAAUUGAAAUUUGAGCCCCAAAAAAGGGAACUGGAGCCCUGGGAAAUGGAACCGGGGGCGAAUUGAGCCCAAAAAAUCCAAAUUGAGCCCAAAAAAAUCUCAAAUCUGACCCCAAAAAAUCAAAUUUGGUCGGAACCACCCCAAAUCCUCCCCGAAAUCCAAAUUCAUCCCCAAAAAAAAUCCCAAAUCUGACUAAAAAAAACCUCAAAUUUGAUCCCAAAAACCCCAAAUCCGCCCAAUUUAACCCCAAAAUUCCCUCAAAAAUUGAGCCCACCCCAAAUCCACGGAAUCCACCCCCCAAAAAAAAACCCCCAAUUCCACCCCAAAAAAAUCCCCAAAAUUCCCCAAAAAAUCCCCAAAAUUCCCUGGAUGGGCCCCCGGGAGCAGCCGGAUUUUGGGGCCAUUUUGGGGCCGUUUUGUCCCUUUUUGGGUCCUUCCUCAGCCAUAAAAAUUGUAAAUAAAUCCCAAAUUCUCCCCAAAUUCCCGAGGAUUUUCCCCUGCGCUGACUUGGGCUUGAAAUUCCCAUUUUUUCCCCAAAAAAAAUUCCCAAUUCUGGGGAAAAAAAAAACCCAAAUUUUGAGGGUUUGAGCAGCAAAAAGCCCCAAAAUUUGGGGAUUUUGCCCCAAAAUUCCCCUUGGUUCUGUUUUUUCUGAUGGAUUAAAUCCGAGAUUUUGGGGAUUUGAGGCUCUUGCUCCAAUUUUUCUGUGGGAAAUGGGGGAAAAAUCGUCAAAAAUGGUAAAAAGUGGAGGAAAAAGGAAAAAAAAAGGUAAAAAAAUGGCACAAAAAUGGUUAAAAAUGGGGAAAAAAGGCACAAAAAUGGUAAAUAAAUAAAACAACAGGAAAAUCCCCGAAAUCAUGGGAAAAACCAUCGAAAUUCAGCUAAAAAUGGGCAAAAAAAUCAUGGAGAAAACAUCCAAAAUUCCAUUUAAAAGCCAUAAAAAUUCAGGGGAAAUUUCCAAAUAUGCCAAAAUUUCCAUGAAAAUUCAAAAAGGGGAAAAAACCCAAUUAAAAUAAAGAGAAAUAAAAAUGAAAGUGCAUCGAAAAUCAGGGGAAAUGUCCAAAAUCUGGGGGAAAAUCAUGAAAAAGGAAUUUAAAUCUGCCCCAAAAUGGUUUAAAAUCCAAAAAAAAAAAAAAAGGGAAAAAGAAAGAAAUAAAAUCAUGGGAAAAAAAAAUUAAAAUGGGAUUUUUUGGGGGUAAAAAUGAAAUCAAAAUUCCACUUUGGGAGCAGCUGGGAAGGUCCCAAAAUUGGGGUUUUUCCACCCAAAAAUUGGGAUUUUCACUCCCCAAAAUUGGGAUUUUUCUGCUCAAAAAAUUGGGAUUUUCACUCCCUAAAAUUGGGAUUUUUCAGCUCAAAAUUGGGGAAUUUUUUCCCACUUAAUAAUUGGGAUUUGCAGCUCAAAAAUUGGGAAUUUUCCAUCCAAACCUGGGAUUUUUUCCCACUUAAAAAAUGGGGAUUUUUCAGCCCAAAUUUUGGGAUUUUUCAGCCCAAAAAUUGCGAUUUUUCAGCCCAAAUUUUGGGGUUUAUUUCAGGUUUUUUUUCCCGUGAUUUUCUGGGAAUUUUUGGGGGGAAAUUCGGGAAUUUUUGUAAAAGAUUUUCUCGGGAUUGGAAUUUUUGGGUUUUUCUCUCUUUUUUUUUUUGUCUUUUUUUUUCUUUUUUUUUUUUUUAGGGAAUUUUUGGGGCUUUUCGAGGGCUGGGGGAGGGGCCGCGGGGGAUGAUGUAAUAAAUAUGUAAAUAUAUGCAAAUGAA